rnacentral:rRNA from 1 species
AUACGUAGGGGGCGAGCGUUGUCCGGAAUGAUUGGGCGUAAAGGGCGCGUAGGCGGCGCGGUAAGUCUGGAGUGAAAGUCCUGCUUUCAAGGUGGGAAUUGCUUUGGAUACUGCCGCGCUUGAGUGCAGGAGAGGUUAUCGGAAUUCCCGGUGUAGCGGUGAAAUGCGUAGAGAUCGGGAGGAACACCAGUGGCGAAGGCGGGUAACUGGACUGCAACUGACGCUGAGGCGCGAAAGUGAGGGGAGCAAAUAGGAUUAGAUGCCCUGGUAGUCCACACUGUAAACGAUGAAUGCAAGGUGUAAUAGGUAUCGACCCCAUUUGUGCCGGAGUCCACACAAUAAGCAUUCCGCCUGGGGAGUACGGCCGCAAGGUGGAAACUCAAAGGAAUUGACGGGG